CUGAGUACUGAGUACUCAGAAUUCAGAGGAGAACAAGACAAGUGUGACCAUUGCUCUUGGGCAUCUUACAUUUGAGCUGGGAAGAUAAGCAUCAGGUAGUUCAAGACAUCAUUUAUCCUUGUUAACUGUUAGUGCUAAAUGGUUUUAUGGAAACUGAAUUGCUCCUGACUCUCAAAGAGUGGUCUACUCCUCUGCUCGAUAAAGAUGCAGAAUUUCAGCCUCUCUCCAGCCCCAGUGAAUUAGAACCUGCAUCUUAAACUCUAUGCCAGGCAAUUCUUAUGCACAUUAAAUUUCUAGAAGUAGAGUCAAGAUAACAGUGUGCUGCAAGAGAUCGAAGGAUUUAUGAAUCAUACAAGGGCAAGUGGAUAACUGGAACAGAGGCCUCUUCACCUGGGUGACAUUUACACACCCAAAUGGAGUGAAUGGAGACUUUAUCUCUUGCAUCAGUGUUGAAGGACACCCUAGGUGAGAUGCUGCUCUGUUCUUUGCUGUCUAUUCGUAUUUUAUCAUUGCCAGUUAUAUGUCUCCUGGGUUGGGUCUCUUUCAUGUUCCGAAAUAGGAGAUCUAUUCUGUUUGGCAUCAAUAUUUUCCUAUGUUUCUCCCCUCUACUUUAAGGACUGGCUAAUGUUUUCCAGAUGAGGUGCGAGCAGCUGCUAAUUGUACCCGGAUCAGCCUUGAUUUGUGUUUCAGUCAGCAAGGCACCUCACUAAUGGGUCUGAAACUUGGCAGCAGGCCUGGGACCAGUGUCAAAGGAAACAGAUCCGAAAAGCACAUAGAGAAAGGCAAGGAGACAAGGAGUCGACGUAAAAAGGGCUUGGCAGGCAGCACUGUACUCUGAUAGCAGCCAGAGAGUGAGGCUUAAAUUCUAAGCCUGACAGGGUUGAGGGGCUCAGACACACCUUGGCUUUAUGAGCUGAGGCCUGAGGCGGCCUCUCCUGGCUUAAGAUCCUGGAGCCAGCUUUCCUGGAAUGAAGCUGGAAAGGGGCCUUGUUAGGGGAAGCCGACAGCGGAGGCCUAAGGCUUUUCUGAAUUGGACACAUUCACUGUACUCAAUUAAAAAGUCACCUCUAUACGAAGGAAGAAAUCCACUUGCCAUGAUGAAUUCCAACUUGUUCAGAGUGGGGGGAGAACCUGCAUAUACAGGAAUAUUUGUGUAGGCAAGCAGAGGGUGAGAGAAACAGGGAAACAGAUCCAGUCACCAGCAGGAAGGCUAAACAAUGCUUUAGGACAUCAGCAAAGCAGUGGUACACCCACCCCUGCCUCUAGCAAGAAACAAAUAAACAAGCCUGCAGUUUGGAGGAAAAAAUUAAUACUUCAAAAAUAGCAUUCAUGUUCAAACAAAAGCUUGUACACAAAUAUUCACAGCAGCACUAUUUAUAACAGCCCAAAGAUGGAAACAACCCAAAUAACCAUCAACUGAUGAAUAAACAAAAUGUGCUAUGUCCAUGUGCUGGAAUAUUAUCCACCCAUAAGAAAAAAUGAAGUGCUGACACAUGCAACAACAGAGAGGAACCUGGGAAACACUAUGCUAAGUGGAAGAAGCAAGACACAAAAUGCUGUAUACAAGGUGUGAUUAAAAAAUGGGUUAAUAUGUAAAGCAAUUUUUAUUGAAGUUAAAGACUCGCUGCUGUUAAUCCCCCGAGAACAGUGCCCCUGUCUUCAGAAACACUCGCCCACUGUUCCUGCCACCGUUUUGAAGCAGUUCUGGAAGUCCUCCUUCAUGAGUGAUUUUAAUCAUGCGGUCCUGGCUGCCCUGAUGUCCUGAACUAAUUCAAAACGUUUACCUUUCAUGGUCAUUCUGACUUUGGAAAAGAACCAGAAAUCCCUUGAUGACAGAUCCGGUGAAUAAGGUGGAUGGGGACACAGAGUAAUUUUACAAGCCUGCUUUUCUGUUGGAUGGGACGUGGCAGCAGCCUUUUUCUGUAAUUUUCAAUCACACCUGACAGAGACGUGAAAGAAGACUUUCCAAACUGGUUCAGAGUAUGGCAGGAAUGAUGGCAUAGGUUUGUUUAAAGUAAGGAGAAUGAAUGAAAAUGUGUCUUUUAUUGCAACGCUUUUUAAACUUUAAACAUACACUAUAUUUUUAAAAUCAACUCUUGUGUAUAUGAUUUCAUUCAUCUGAAAUAUCCAGAAAUGGUGUGUCCAUGAUGGAAGCUCCUUGGCUGUGGCUGAGGGCUGGUUGGAGGGGAAAAGGGGCAUCAUUUGCUUAAUGAGAAUGGGGUUUCCCUUUGGGAUUCUAAACAAGCUCUGGAACUAGAUAGUGAUGACAGUGGCACCACAUUAAGAAUAUCUGUAAUGCCUUUGAAUUAUAUACUUUAAAAUGAUAAACUUUCCCUGAGUGAUGUAUUUUAAAA